UACGAAGGGGGCUAGCGUUGUUCGGAAUUACUGGGCGUAAAGCGCGUGUAGGCGGGUCCUUAAGUCAGGGGUGAAAUGCCAAGGCUCAACCUUGGAACUGCCUUUGAUACUGGGGAUCUUGAGUCCGGGAGAGGUGAGUGGAACUGCGAGUGUAGAGGUGAAAUUCGUAGAUAUUCGCAAGAACACCAGUGGCGAAGGCGGCUCACUGGACCGGUACUGACGCUGAUGCGCGAAAGCGUGGGGGAGCGAACAGG
rnacentral:rRNA from 1 species